rnacentral:rRNA from 1 species
UACGAGGGGGGCAAGUGUUGUUCGGAAUCACUGGGCGUAAAGCGCACGUAGGCGGCUUUUUAAGUCAGAGGUGAAAUCCUGGAGCUCAACUCCAGAACUGCCUUUGAUACUGGAGAGCUUGAGUCCGGGAGAGGUGAGUGGAACUGCGAGUGUAGAGGUGAAAUUCGUAGAUAUUCGCAAGAACACCAGUGGCGAAGGCGGCUCACUGGCCCGGUACUGACGCUGAGGUGCGAAAGCGUGGGGAGCAAACAGG